GACGAAGGGGGCUAGCGUUGUUCGGAAUUACUGGGCGUAAAGCGCACGUAGGCGGACUAUUAAGUCAGGGGUGAAAUCCCAGGGCUCAACCCUGGAACUGCCUUUGAUACUGGUAGUCUUGAGUACGAGAGAGGUGAGUGGAAUUCCGAGUGUAGAGGUGAAAUUCGUAGAUAUUCGGAAGAACACCAGUGGCGAAGGCGGCUCACUGGCUCGUAACUGACGCUGAGGUGCGAAAGCGUGGGGAGCAAACAGG
rnacentral:rRNA from 1 species